rnacentral:rRNA from 1 species
GACGAACGCUGGCGGCGUGCUUAACACAUGCAAGUCGAACGGAAAGGCCCUGCGUUUGUGGGGUGCUCGAGUGGCGAGCGGGUGAGUAACACAUGAGUAACCUGCCCUUGUCUUUCGGAUAACUUCAGGGAACUGGGGCUAAUACAGGAGAGGAGAUCCUGCUGCGUAGGGGUGGUUGGAAAGUUUCGGCGGUUGUGGAUGGACUCGCGGCUUAUCCGCUUGUUGGGGGGGUAGUGGAUUACCAAGGCUUUGACGGGUAGCCGGCCUGAGAGGGUGACCGGGGACCAUGGGACUGCGAUACGGCCCAGAAGGCUACGUGAGGCAGUAGGGGGGAAUAUUGCACAAUGGGCGGAAGCCUGAUGCAGCAACGCUGCGUGCGGGAUGCCGGCUUUCGGGGUGUAAACCGCUGUCGCCGGUGACGAAGCGUGAGUGACGGUAAUGGGUAAAGAAGCACCGGCUAACUACGUG